GAAGGUGUGCUGUGAGGCAUGCUGGAGGUAUCAGAAGUGCGAAUGCUGACAUAAGUAACGAUAAAGCGGGUGAAAAGCCCGCUCGCCGGAAGACCAAGGGUUCCUGUCCAACGUUAAUCGGGGCAGGGUGAGUCGACCCCUAAGGCGAGGCCGAAAGGCGUAGUCGAUGGGAAACAGGUUAAUAUUCCUGUACUUGGUGUUACUGCGAAGGGGGGACGGAGAAGGCUAUGUUGGCCGGGCGACGGUUGUCCCGGUUUAAGCGUGUAGGCUGGUUUUCCAGGCAAAUCCGGAAAAUCAAGGCUGAGGCGUGAUGACGAGGCACUACGGUGCUGAAGCAACAAAUGCCCUGCUUCCAGGAAAAGCCUCUAAGCAUCAGGUAACAUCAAAUCGUACCCCAAACCGACACAGGUGGUCAGGUAGAGAAUACCAAGGCGCUUGAGAGAACUCGGGUGAAGGAACUAGGCAAAAUGGUGCCGUAACUUCGGGAGAAGGCACGCUGAUAUGUAGGUGAAGUCCCUCGCGGAUGGAGCUGAAAUCAGUCGAAGAUACCAGCUGGCUGCAACUGUUUAUUAAAAACACAGCACUGUGCAAACACGAAAGUGGACGUAUACGGUGUGACGCCUGCCCGGUGCCGGAAGGUUAAUUGAUGGGGUUAGC
rnacentral:rRNA from 1 species